GAAAAUCGGGUAGACGCUACGGACUUAAAAUCCGUUGGCUU
rnacentral:tRNA from 1 species